AUGCACGCUGGCGGCGUGCCUAAUACAUGCCAGUCGAGCGAACAGACGAGGAGCUUGCUCCUCUGACGUUAGCGGCGGACGGGUGAGUAACACGUGGAUAACCUACCUAUAAGACUGGGAUAACUUCGGGAAACCGGAGCUAAUACCGGAUAAUAUAUUGAACCGCAUGGUUCCAUAGUGAAAGACGGUUUUGCUGUCACUUAUAGAUGGAUCCGCGCCGCAUUAGCUAGUUGGUAAGGUAACGGCUUACCAAGGCAACGAUGCGUAGCCGACCUGAGAGGGUGAUCGGCCACACUGGAACUGAGACACGGUCCAGACUCCUACGGGAGGCAGCAGUAGGGAAUCUUCCGCAAUGGGCGAAAGCCUGACGGAGCAACGCCGCGUGAGUGAUGAAGGUCUUCGGAUCGUAAAACUCUGUUAUUAGGGAAGAACAAAUGUGUAAGUAACUAUGCACGUCUUGACGGUACCUAAUCAGAAAGCCACGGCUAACUACGUG
rnacentral:rRNA from 1 species